rnacentral:rRNA from 1 species
UACGUAGGGGUGCAAGCGUUUAAUCGGAAUUACUGGGCGUAAAGCGUGCGCAGGCGGUUAUGUAAGACAGAUGUGAAAUGCCCGGGCUUAACCUGGGAACUGCAUUUGUGACUGCAUGGCUAGAGUUUGGCAGAGGGGGGGUAGAAUUCCACGUGUAGCAGUGAAAUGCGUAGAGAUGUGGAGGAACACCGAUGGCGAAGGCAGCCCCCCUGGGCUAACACUGACGCUCAUGCACGAAAGCGUGGG